UAAAGUUGCAGAUUUCACUAGUGUAUAUA
rnacentral:sRNA from 1 species